rnacentral:rRNA from 1 species
GAUGAACGCUGGCGGCGUGCCUAAUACAUGCAAGUCGAGCGAACGGACGAUAAGCCUGCUUCUUUGAUGUUAGCGGCGGACGGGUGAGUAACACGUGGAUAACCUACCUAUAAGACUGGGAUCACUUCGGGAAACCGUAGAUAAUACCGGAUAAUCUUUUGAACCGCAUUGUUCAAAAGUGAAAGACGGUCUUGCUGUCACUUAUCGAUGGAUCCGCGCUGCAUUAGCUAGUUGGUAAGGUAACGGCUUACCAAGGCAACGCUGCAUAGCCGAUCUGUGAGAGUGAUCGGCCACACUGGAACUGGAACACGGUCCAGACUCCUACGGUAGGCAGCAGUAGGGAAUCUGCCGCAGUGGUCGAAAGCCUGACGGAACAACGCCACGUGAGUGAUAAAGGUCUUCGGAUCGUAAAACUCUGUUAUUAGGGAAGAACAUAUGUGUAAGUAACUGUGCACAUCUUGACGGUACCUAAUCAGAAAGCCACGGCUAACUACGUG